GAUGAACGCUGGCGGCGUGCUUAACACAUGCAAGUCGAACGGAAAGGCCCAAGCUUGCUUGGGUACUCGAGUGGCGAACGGGUGAGUAACACGUGGGUGAUCUGCCCUGCACUUCGGGAUAAGCCUGGGAAACUGGGUCUAAUACCGGAUAGGACCACUUCUUGGAUGUUGUGGUGGAAAGUUUUUUGGGUGUGGGAUGAGCUCGCGGCCUAUCAGCUUGUUGGUGGGGUAAUGGCCUACCAAGGCGUCGACGGGUAGCCGGCCUGAGAGGGGGUACGGCCACAUUAGGACUGAGAGACGGCCCGGACUCCUACGGGAGGCAGCAGGGGGGAAUAUUGCACAAUGGGCGCAAGCCUGAUGCAGCGACGCCGCGUGGGGGAUAACGGCCUUCGGGUUGUAAACUCCGUUCGCUAGGGACGAAGCGUUUUGUGACGGUACCUGGAGAAGAAGCACCGGCUAACUACGUG
rnacentral:rRNA from 1 species